AGUUGGUGGUGGGGACAUUUCUUUUGCAUAUCUUUAAACUAUUCUUAUGCCUCAUGUAAAGUUUCCUCUUCAUAUUGCUAGAAACUAGCAAUGUCAUUUUAUAAUUU
rfam:Gossypium hirsutum cultivar TM-1 chromosome 9, whole genome shotgun sequence